UAGUAACGGCGAGUGAAGCGGGAAGAAGCUCAAAUUUGAAAUCUGGCGGCAUCCUGUCGUCCGAGUUGUAAUCUAUAGAAGUGUUUUCCGCGGCGGACCAUGUACAAGUCCCUUGGAACAGGGCGUCAUAGAGGGUGAGAAUCCCGUCCUUGACAUGAUCUCCGGUUGCUAUGUGAUACACUUUCAACGAGUCGAGUUGUUUGGGAAUGCAGCUCAAAAUGGGUGGUGAAUUCCAUCUAAAGCUAAAUAUUGGCGAGAGACCGAUAGCGAACAAGUACCGUGAGGGAAAGAUGAAAAGCACUUUGGAAAGAGAGUUAAACAGUACGUGAAAUUGUUGAAAGGGAAACGAUUGAAGUCAGUCAUGCUCUUUGGGUUAAGCCGUUCGCGGUGUAUUCCAUUGAGUGGGGUCAACAUCAGUUUUGACCGCUGGAAAAAGGCACGAGGAAGGUAGCACUCUCGGGUGAACUUAUAGCCUCGCGUCAUAUACAGUGGUUGGGACUGAGGAACGCAGCAUGCCUUAUGGCCGGGAUUCGUCCACGUACAUGCUUAGGAU
rnacentral:rRNA from 1 species